rnacentral:lncRNA from 1 species
AAAAAAAACAAAAAAAACAAAAAAUUACUACAGUGAAAAUGUAAAAUGGAAGUCCAUUUUCAGCAAAGGGCUUCUAUGUAAAGAAAAUAUAGUUUGUUGUUGAAUCUUUAAGUAAUAUAAACUUAAAAUUUUCUGUGUUUAUAAUUUAUUACAUGAAUGUUGUAAUUUAUUUCCAGGUUUAAUUAUUUUAAGGUUAAAAGGUGUGUGUGAGUGAACAUCUUGAGCCCUUGCUGAGUGCCAGAGAUUGUUCUAAGCUUUUAACCUGUUAUCUCAUUUGGUCUUCAAAGGACCUUUAUGAGUUAGAUACUGUAAUUUUCGCAAUAUAUUAAAUGAGAAAAUUGUGGCAUAUUGUAGUUUAUAGUUAAUCAUCAUUCCCACCCCCCAGUUCCAAGCCAGCACUAAUCUACUUUCUGUCUUUAUAGUAUAUCCUUUUCUGGAUAGUUCAUAUGAAUGGAGUAGUAAAAUAUGUGGCCUUUUUGUUGGCUUCUUUCAUUUACCCCGAUGUUUUGUCAUUGUGUUGUAGCAUGGAUCAGUAUUUUGUUCCUUUUUAUUGCAGAAUAAUACUUACAGUUCGUUUUUAAUGAAAAUAAUAACACAGACCUGGUCUCCUGGUAGCAAAUAUGAGAAAACCACUAGGUUUGGGCCUAGCUGUUCCCUUUAUGCCUCUCCUAUGUGUUAUCCUUGGUAACUGCCCAGACCCAAGACCAGACAGGACCAUUGCCUUCUAGAGUUCUCUUAUUCCAUACCUGGAUGCUUGUGCUUCCUCCCUUGGACUUUUUGUCCCUUUACUACCCUUCCUGGCAUUCUUUUCACUGUUCUGUGAAUUCUCAUUUUCAGUGUCAACACAUUACCCUGUGUUCUCAGUGCUUUCACAGUGGGUUGCUGGCAGGUAAUUGGAAUCUGAGAAUUUUAUCCAAGUUGCCCAUUAUUCUAAUCUCCAUAAGCCACAGAGCCAGGAACUGCUGAUGGUGUACUGGUUGUGGCGAACACUCUUUUUUGAAAAUUACUCUCUUACAUAACCACAGCACAUGCCAUCAAAAUCAGGAAAUCAGCGUUGAUCUGAUAAAACCAUCUACUCCACAGACCUUGUUCGGGUUUGGGGGAUUAUUCCAGAAUGUUCUCUCCUGGUCCAGGAUUUGAUCCAGGAUCUACUGGCAUGACUCUAAUUUUCUUCAGUAUGGAGCAGUUCCUCAGCCUUUCUUUGCAUUUCAUAGCAAACUUACUGAAGAUAACUAGUUUUUUUUUUUUUUUUUUUUUUUUUUGGUGGAAACUCAGUUUAAUGUUUCUUUAUAAUCUGCUUUUGUAGGGGAGGAGCAAAAAUUCUGUAUUCUUAGUGUUUUGUAACUGGAGCCGUGUGAUGUCAAUUUGAGUAAAUAUGAUAGAAGAUAUCCAGUGUUGGUCCUUAGGGAAAAAGGUUUUCAUAAUCACAGAAGUGGGGGCUCUCACUGAGGUUGAGUUAUCAACAAAUAGUUACAUUUUCUGGCAGCAUUGAUGGUGAAUUUUAUCUAAUUAUCUUUUAACUCAUAGAUAAGACAAUCACUUAUUCAUACAUUUACUACCCCUACUACGUGCUUACCCAUGUGUGGGUGCCGGGGAUCCAGGCAUCAACCAAACAGGCCUCUGGUUGCUCACCCUCAUUCACUGAUAUGUGUGAGAGGGAAUUUCAGUAGUGGUAAGUCAGUGGUCUUGCAACGUAAUUCUUGUGCUUUCAAAGAUCAUUCAUAGACUCAUAUAGCUAACACUCACAGGAUACUGCUCUUUGGCAUUGACCAGUCCCUCCACUUUCUUCCCUGAGACCCAUUGCAAGCUGUUUCUGAUCAUUGUCAGGAAAGAUUGUUUUCCUGUGUUUGUGUUAUUUUGAAAAGGCUCUCUGUGUUGGUUUGGUGCACCAGGAUAGUGUUGUACAGACUCACUUGCCACAGCAAAAAAAUGACAUCCUAAGGAGAAGUUAGUAUAUUCAUCAGAUGUUAAGUUUUUGAGUUGAGAUUUUGUCAGCUUUUUUGACCUGGAAAAAUAGAAGGUUUAUUUAUUUAUUUUUUUUCAAGAGUUGUCACUGGUCACAGAUAAUGAAAUAAGUAAAGUGAGUGGUGUUUAUCAUCCAUUGAGCUAGACCUAUUUUACUAGCUGAUUGACUACCUGAAAAUCUGAGUUUGAAUGUGGUUAUUUCACUGUGUCAAAUGGUAGCCUAGUAACUGAUUAUUACUGCUGUUUUAAACAGUGACCUUCUUAUGUUUAGGAUAUAUUUAGGUGAGUUAGUGAGGUAGCUUUGAUGCCUUAAUAGAACCAGAGAAACCACUUGGCCAUAAUAACUGAUAGUUUUCAGGUUUUCAUACUGUGCUUACUACUUAACACAUCUGUAACCUAGCAGAGCUCCAACGUUCUUCUUUUUGUUCCUACAGAGAAAGGAUCUCAAGUCUAACUUAGAAUGUGGCAUAAUAAUGUGUGACAGUCUUUUGAGGAACAAAUCACAGUAACCCCAAAUUGCCCAGGGUAAUCAAUAGCAACUGCCAGAUUGCAUUUGGAGCCAGGACAUUUCUUUGGCUACACUGGAUGACCAUGUGAGAUCUGAGAGAACAUGAGGAUGGUUAUAAGUGGCUGGAUAAAAACAAAACGAAAAUAUGUGAGUUCCUUUUGAGCUAAAGAUGUUGAUGAGAAUUAUUCUGAAGAAAAAUGGCCACUACAUUUUAAGUGCUAAUUUAAGAAUGGCUGCUGCUUCUUAGAGAUUGUUGAGUAUACUGAUUCUAAAUUAUGUAGUUUAAGUUGUGUAAAUUUAAAUUCUGGAGUAGGUUUUUUUUUAUAUCAUAUCCAUCAUAAAACAGCUGUUUUCACUUGCCAUAGGUGAAACUAUGGGUAAACAUUUCUUUUAUGUGCAGGUGUGUUGUAGCAAUAGAACUUGUUAACAGUGUAAGUGCUUAAGGAAUUUUUAGUGCAGAUUCUGUGAGUUAAAAUUACAGUAUGGAAUGGUCAUGAAGCCUGAUUUCCUUCCUCAGCCCCACUGUCCAGUAGAAAAAUGAUCCAGAUUUAGUCUUCAAUAUGUAAUCUAUCUUCUUCUUGGAUGUGCAGAAGGGUUUGUAUUAUAUUGUAUUUAAGGCUUAACAUCUCAUGCCAAGUAAUUUUUUCUUCUGAAUCACAGUAAAACUGUGUGGAAAUCAGUUCAAGAAAAAUUUGCUUGAUGGUAGUGCAUGAUGGUAAGUGGGGCAUUGGGAGUUCAUCCUGAGUAAAGGAAGAGAGCCUGUUUCUCAAGCAGAGUCCAUUCUGCUAGUGAAUUGCCCACUUCUCCAAAUGAACAUAAUGCAGUUAGGUCAGGGAGAAUGACACAGGAGGCUCAGCAUCAUUUCUGUCUCCUCACUUUUCUUGGCACCAUAUCCUAACACAAAGGUUUAUUGAAUAUUUACCUAAAAUUUCUCCCACAUUGGUUAUUUUCACUUCUGUGGUUUGACACUGUGAUACCAGAUGGGACAAACAAGAGCCUGGUCAAAACUUGAAAAAAAAAUCUGGGGAACAAGCAGUCCACAGGGUCUUUGAAAAGCUCUGAUACAUUCCUGGGGACCUAAAAGGUUGCAUAAAUGUGAAAAGCUGUGUGCAUGCCUGGGAAAGACCUGAGAGGGCCCUACUCUUUCACCUCUGGCUGAUUGGAGUUUCUGUGCAAGUAGGAAGUGAAGGCUAAGGCAGAGUUCUAAGCUGCCUGAAUGUUGAGGGCAUGUCUUAACACACAUGGAUACAUCUAGAGCUUCUCAGCAAAGAAUGGAAUAUUUAUUGAUUCACAGAAUUUAAGGAAAUGUCUGUCGAAUCAUUAGCUGACCACUAAGUUAACUGAGCAGAGACUUUAGUGGUUGUACAGUACAGGGAAUAAAGACUAUUGAAUUAGUCCUGGAAGGUCACUAUGCUAACAAAUAGCAGCAGCAGAAACAACAAAACAGCAAUUACAACAGACCCUAAGGGUGGGGGAUAUCUGAUUUCCAGAGUUUUUACAUUAUAUUAUCUAAAAUACUUAGUUUUCAAUUAAAAAUAUUGAAAUAUGCAAAGAAAUAGGAAAGCAUGACCUAUACACAGGAAAAGAACUGUCAAUAGAAACUAUCCCUGAGAGGUCUAAUUGUUGGUCUUACAAAUACUUUAAACCAGCUAUUAAAUAUACGUUAUUUAUAGGAUAAAUAUAAAAAUAUUGUAGACUAGGUGCAGUGACUCAUGCCUGUAAUCCCAGUACUUUGGGAGGCUGAGGUGGGUGGAUUGCUUUGAGCCUAGGAGUUCAAGACCAGCCUGGGCAACAUGGUGAAACCCCAUCAUGCAUGCCUGUGGUCCCAGGUACUCUGCUGGCUGAGGUGGGAGGAUCGUUUGAGCCUAGGAAGUUGAGGCUGCAGUGAGCUGUGAUUGCACCACUGCACUCCAACCUGCACAACAGAGUGAGAUCCUCUCUCAAAAAAAUUAUAAAUAUUAAUAUAUACAUAAAAAUAAAGUCUAAAGGAAACCAGGUCUAAAGAAUUAAAAUAUGAGAACAAUGCUUAACCAAAUAGAUAAUAUCAAUAAAGAAAAACUGGAAAAAAGACCCCGCAUAUCUACAACUAUCUGAUCUUUGACAAACCUGAGAAAAACAAGCAAUGGGGAAAGGAUUCCCACACACACACACGCACGCACGCACGCACGCACGCACAAGAAGGCAAUGUGAGGACAGAGGC